rnacentral:ncRNA from 21 species
GUCGGGAUAGCUCAGUUGGUAGAGCA